CAACAUACAUAUUAAUGAUGUCUCACGUAGUUAAUAUAUUUUAACGUGUACCCACUCGGUACGUUGUGUUUACAUAGGCAAUUCACCGCUAUGUAAAUAAUCAAUGACAGAUCACUCAUUACACGGCGUCUAGCCCGUAAUCAUUACCGGCGAGUUCAUUUUGGAUGGAUCUUAUUCGAAAAUUAAAUCGUUUUCACACACUGAAAUUUAGUUGUUUUUCAUAAAUAACACAUUCAAUAAUCACCACUAGAGUAGCACUUUUGAUUUGAUAACACCAUCGACUCAAUUCAACGUACUUUUAAUAAAGAAAAACAAUUUGCGUACUCGCAAUAACACAAUGGUUGUCAAAAUUUUCAAAACAACGCAUCAACGAUAGUUCAUUCCAGAAAAGGCCUACUGAUGUGAAUGAAAUUUAAUUUAAUGUAUUUGUACAGUGAAAAUUCAUCCAGUUUUAGAAUGCAUGAAGAAAAUUGAUGUUAAACAGUCGUUUUGAUGUUUUCAACGACCGAGUGGGUACACGUUAAAGCAGUAUACAGCAGAGACCAUGUAAAUGGCCGAUUCCACAAGCGCAAUUGCGGGCCUCGUUUUGCUCGGACCCGCAAACUUUGCGCUUAUGUAAUCGGCCAUUUACAUGGUCUCUGCUGUAAUCUACUAUUA